UAAGUGAAUAAAUGAAAUGAGUUAAGAGUAAAGAGUAGAAGAAUGAGAGUGAUAGAACCUGAGACCUAGCCGAGCAUAUUAGCUAGGUUUUAUAGGAGUUGGUUUCUACCCGUUAGUGGAUAAGUCCUAGUUUGUAGGUUGGUUAUGAUCUUCUGUUUUGUUGAGCACGUUUCCUAUUUCUUCGAAUGGGCGAGGCCGAGCUUAUCUGCUCACG